AAGAUUCCCUAUGGCCACCCUUGACUUUGAUGUUUAUUGGUCGCCAUUUUAGCUCAGAGAAUAAUGGAGCAGGGAAGGAGUUUUGUUGUUGCCCUCACUCCCAGCUGUGGGGCACAUCUGUUUCUCCAGCUGGGAGUUGGCUUGUUGAAAGUUAAAGUUUGAGGUCUGACGAUAGUUGGUGGGAUGACCAGGGAUAUCCCUCUGCCUCUGGUGAAACUGCUCUGCAAAGCACUGGGCCCCUCUUCGUAUCAGCCAUCCAGUUAACAUUUCCUCUCUUUUUCUCAACACCGGCGCUAUCCCCAGGAACGUGCCCAGGAACAUUCCAGGCCUGAGUAUGAAACCAAAGUUCGAGAGAAAAUGCUAAAGGAGAGCAACCAGUCUGCUGUCCAGAAAUUGGAAACAAACACGACGGAGUGUGGCGAUGAGGAUGAUGAAGAUAAACUGACCUGGAAGGAUCGUUUCCCAGGUUACCUGAUGAACUUUGCCUCCAUCUUAUUCAUGAUUGCCCUGACAUUCUCAAUCGUCUUUGGGGUGAUAGUGUAUCGAAUAACAACUGCAGCCGCUCUGUCUCU
rnacentral:lncRNA from 1 species